rnacentral:rRNA from 1 species
GACGAACGCUGGCGGCGUGCUUAACACAUGCAAGUCGAACGGAAAGGCCCUGCUUUUGUGGGGUGCUCGAGUGGCGAACGGGCGAGUAACACGUGAGUAACCUGCCCUUGACUUUGGGAUAACUUCAGGAAACUGGGGCUAAUACCGGAUAGGAGCUCCUGCUGCAUGGUGGGGGUUGGAAAGUUUCGGCGGUUGGGGAUGGACUCGCGGCUUAUCAGCUUGUUGGUGGGGUAGUGGCUUACCAAGGCUUUGACGGGUAGCCGGCCUGAGAGGGUGACCGGCCACAUUGGGACUGAGAUACGGCCCAGACUCCUACGGGAGGCAGCAGUGGGGAAUAUUGCACAAUGGGCGGAAGCCUGAUGCAGCAACGCCGCGUGCGGGAUGACGGCCUUCGGGUGGUAAACCGCUUUCGCCUGUGACGAAGCGUGAGUGACGGUAAUGGGUAAAGAAGCACCGGCUAACUACGU